UUUACCUUUCCGAUAGCUUAGUAGUGAUACAUGAGCAAGCAAUGAAACGAGACUAUACUUUGUCAUACGUAUAAGACUAUGGGUAUUAUAUAACAUUGACAAGAAUUAUUAUUAUACAUUUUUCACAAUAAUCAAAUAUGAACGAAUUGAAGUUCACACAAACGUCUGAUAACAAAAAAUAGAUGUGCAGAUAAUAAUUACAAUAACGGAACAGUAUAUUAUCGAACGUUUAGCAUGCAAUAACGAGCCAUUUGCAUGUACUCGUAAUUGAAAUUACACGAAACACUUAUGAUUUAAUACAAUUCCUUACUGUCAUCCUGCCUAUGGGUCACAAUAAUUGCAAACAUUAUUCCACAGCCGCAUACCAUCCAGAUUCUGAGCUUCAUUUCAUCUUUUUAUUGCAAAUGCAUUGGAAUCUAACUUACAAGAAUCAAGUUCACUUUAUUCUGCGAAUGACUUGCACCGUCAUAGUAUAACAAUUU